rnacentral:rRNA from 1 species
CAGUAGCCGCGGUAAUACGAAGGGGGCUAGCGUUGUUCGGAAUUACUGGGCGUAAAGCGCGUGUAGGCGGGUCCUUAAGUCAGGGGUGAAAUGCCAAGGCUCAACCUUGGAACUGCCUUUGAUACUGGGGACCUUGAGUCCGGGAGAGGUGAGUGGAACUGCGAGUGUAGAGGUGAAAUUCGUAGAUAUUCGCAAGAACACCAGUGGCGAAGGCGGCUCACUGGCCCGGAACUGACGCUGAGACGCGAAAGCGUGGGGAGCAAACAGGAUUAGAUACCCCUGUAGUCCCUGUCUCUUAUAA